CCUACGGGAGGCAGCAGUGAGGAAUAUUGGUCAAUGGGCGCGAGCCUGAACCAGCCAAGUAGCGUGAAGGAUGACUGCCCUACGGGUUGUAAACUUCUUUUAUAAAGGAAUAAAGUGAGCCACGUGUGCCUUUUUGUAUGUACUUUAUGAAUAAGGAUCGGCUAAAUCCGUGCCAGCAGCCGCGGUAAUACGGAGGAUCCGAGCGUUAUCCGGAUUUAUUGGGUUUAAAGGGAGCGUAGAUGGGUUUUUAAAGCAGUUGUGAAAGUUUGCGGCUCAACCGUAAAAUUGCCGUUGAUACUGGCAUUCUUGAGUACAGGUGAGGUAGGCGGAAUUCGUGGUGUAGCGGUGAAAUGCUUAGAUAUCACGAAGAACUCCGAUUGCGAAGGCAGCUUACUAAACUGCCACUGACAUUGAUGCUCGAAAGUGUGGGUAUCAAACAGGAUUAGAUACCCCUGUAGUC
rnacentral:rRNA from 1 species